rnacentral:tRNA from 1 species
GGAGCGAUGGUGUAGUUGGUUAUCACGUCUGUCUAACAUUUGAUUGUCCACAGACGGUCCUCAGUUCGAACCUGGGUCGCUUCA